rnacentral:rRNA from 1 species
AUGAAAUUAAAACCCGCAUCUGAUGGAGCUUUAAAUUCAGAGAUCGGGGUAGGGGGUGCUGCUGGUGUGGCGAGAUCGGCGACUUCCUUUCUUGGAGCGUGGAGCAAGCCGUAUCCCGGCGUGUCAAAUCCGUUGGUCAUGGAGGCGCUAGCACUGCGAGAUGCUGCCAAACUUGCUAAUAUUCGUGGAUUCACACAGGUGCUUAUGGAGACCGACUGCUUUCAACUAGUCCAGCUAUGGAAUACCCGGUUGCCAGCGCGUUCUGUCGUGGCACCGCUUUUAGAUGAAAUUAGAGAGCUAUCCCUUCAGUUUAAUUUCUUUGUAAUUCGGCACAUUUAUAGAUCGACCAAUGUACCGGCGCAUAUGUGUGCUAAGCGAGCUUGCACGCUAAGUGUGUCUGAAAGUUGGAUCGAUGAGACUCCAAGCUUCCUGAUCGGCACCCUUUUGGCGGACUGCAACAUGAAUGCAUUAUAG